UCCGGUUUGUCACCGGCAGUCUCCCCAGAGUGCCCUUGCGUAGCAACUAAUGACAAGGGUUGCGCUCGUUGCGGGACUUAACCCAACAUCUCACGACACGAGCUGACGACGGCCAUGCAGCACCUGUGUCCUGGCUCCCUUUCGGGCACCCUCACAUCUCUGCGAGAUUCCAGGCAUGUCAAGGGUAGGUAAGGUUUUUCGCGUUGCAUCGAAUUAAACCACAUCAUCCACCGCUUGUGCGGGUCCCCGUCAAUUCCUUUGAGUUUUAACCUUGCGGCCGUACUCCCCAGGCGGUCAACUUCACGCGUUAACUUCGUUACCAAGGAAUUGCCUCCCCGACAACCAGUUGACAUAGUUUAGGGCGUGGACUAC
rnacentral:misc_RNA from 1 species